UACGGAGGGUGCAAGCGUUAAUCGGAAUUACUGGGCGUAAAGCGUGCGCAGGCGGUUUGUUAAGUCCGUUGUGAAAGCCCCGAGCUCAACUUGGGAAUUGCAGUGGAUACUGGCAGGCUGGAGUACGGUAGAGGAAGGUGGAAUUCCCGGUGUAGCAGUGAAAUGCGUAGAUAUCGGGAGGAACACCAGUGGCGAAGGCGGCCUUCUGGACCAGUACUGACGCUCAUGCACGAGAGCGUGGGGAGCAAACAGG
rnacentral:rRNA from 1 species